UGAAUAAAGAGGAAGUAACUAAAGCAGACAGAUGUAGAGACAGAGAGAUUCACACAGAGAUCAUUCAGCAGAAAGAAGACUGAACUCAAGUCACAAUGAAGAUCCUCCUCAUCUUCUUCACUUUCUACCUGAUCUCAGCUGCAGUGAGAUGCUUCAGUGUCACUGGAUAUUCUGGAGGAAGUGUUCUUGUUGAUUCGGGGCAACUGUGGUACAGCGACUCAGUUAAAUACAUGGCCAAAUUACCGGAGUGGAGAACAGUAAUAAAUGAUAAGAAACAUGAUAAAUGGAUACAUAACGGAAAUUUCACAUUGUUUCGAAACAAAGAGGGAAACCUCAUGAUCUACAUCAGAGAUUUGAAUGAACAUGAUGCUGGAGAAUACUGGAUUGGUGUUCUUUACAAGUGGGGUAUAGAUAUGACUUUACAUGUGGAAGACGAUUUAUAUGGUAAAGUGACAAAGAGAGUGAUGGUGAAUAUUGGAGAAACUGCCAAUUUCAGUUGUAAAUAUACACAAAAUCAUAUCAAUGAUAUCAAGAUCAUACUCAAAGAAGGAAAAGACUCCAUUGAGACGAUUUACAGCAGAUGGAAGACGAACAAAAGAUUCAGAAUUUCUGAUGACAAACAUAAAAAUGUCUUCCAUAUGAAGAUUUUUACUGUGAGACCAGAUGAUGGAGGAGUUUAUCUGUGUGGAGUUUGGAUCGACAGACACUCGUACAGUUACUACAUUAGUAUUAAUACUGUUGACCUGCACAUUAGUAUGGCUCCAGUAGUGAGACAUGAAGGAGAAUCUGCUGAGAUCUUCUGUCCUUAUGAUUCAAUCUAUAAAUCAAAGCCAAAGUCUCUCUGUAAGGGGAAGUGCUCCACUAGAGACAGAAAUCCUCUCAGUGAGACUGUGAGAGAAGAGAAAGAGACCAAGACUGACAGAUUGACUCUGAAAGAUGACGUCACUGCAAGUGUCUUCACUGGGACCAUCACUGCACUGACAGCAGAGGAUGCUGGGAAAUACUGGUGUGCAGUGACAUUAGAAACAGAGCUCAAUUAUCUUCACACUCAUCUGAUGGUCAUCAUGAACGAGGGUGAGGAAGGUCUCUUCAUCUGA
rnacentral:lncRNA from 1 species